AUAAACACUUGGCCGUGCAGAUAUCACGAUCACAAAAGUGGUUCUCUCAGGGUGAGGCUCAUCAAUUGCACUUCAGGCUGUGCUGACCUCUGCAAUUUCCCCAAAUGUGGGAAACUUGACUGCAUAAUCUGUUAGGAGACUGCAUUUGUGCUCCUUAAGA
ensembl:snRNA U1 U1 spliceosomal RNA